CACAAAGAUAACUAACGUUUCAAUCACGGAAUCAGAACAACGUCUUGCCUCAAGACCGGAAAUAGCCGUCAAGGACAAGAAUCCAAUUGUUGUUCAGUAUAACGACACAAACCUUCAUUCGAAUGCCAAGGUCGCUAAAUCGCAUUCAAUGCAAUCCCUUGAAUGUACAGGACCUAGUACCAAGCCUGGUAAACGCACAAAUUCAUCUAAAG
rnacentral:lncRNA from 1 species